GACGAACGCUGGCGGCGUGCUUAACACAUGCAAGUCGAACGGACAGGCCCUGCUUUUGUGGGGUGCUCGAGUGGCGAACGGGUGAGUAACACGUGAGUAACCUCCCCUUGACUUUGGGGUAACUUCAGGAAACUGCGGCUAAUACCGGAUAUGAGCUCCUGCUGCAUGGUGUGGGUUGGAAAUAUUCGGCGGUUGGGGAUGGACUCGCGGCUUAUCCGCUUGUUUGUGGGGUAGGGGCUUACCAAGGCUUUGACGGGUAGCCGGCCUGAGAGGGUGACCGGCGACAUUGGGACUGAGGUACGGACCAGACGCGUACGGGAGGCAGUGGUGGGGAAUAUUGCGGAACGGGCGGAAGCCUGAUGCAGCAACGUCGCGUGCGGGAUGACGGGCUUCGGGUUGUAAACCGCUUUCGCCUGUGACGAAGCGGGAGUGACGGUAAUGGGUAAAGAAGCACCGGCUAACUACGUG
rnacentral:rRNA from 1 species